rnacentral:rRNA from 1 species
CAGUAGCCGCGGGAAUACGAAGGGUGCAAGCGUUACUCGGAAUUACUGGGCGUAAAGCGUGCGUAGGUGGUGGUUUAAGUCCGUUGUGAAAGCCCUGGGCUCAACCUGGGAAUUGCAGUGGAUACUGGGUCACUAGAGUGUGGUAGAGGAUAGUGGAAUUUCCGGUGUAGCAGUGAAAUGCGUAGAGAUCGGAAGGAACAUCUGUGGCGAAGGCGACUAUCUGGGCCAACACUGACACUGAGGCACGAAAGCGUGGGGAGCAAACAGGAUUAGAUAUCCCCGUAGUCCCUGUCUCUUAUAC